rnacentral:misc_RNA from 1 species
UACAGAGGCCUCAAGCGUUAUCCGGAAUCAUUGGGCGUAAAGCGUGUCUAGGUGGUUGUGUUAGUCUCUUGUUAAAGUUCCCGGCUUAACCGGGAAAGUGCGGGAGAAACGGCGCAACUAGAGAAUGUGAGAGGACUGCGGAACUCUAGGUGUAGGGGUGAAAUCCGUUGAUAUCUAGGGGAACACCAAAGGCGAAGGCAGCAGUCUGGCGCAUUUCUGACACUCACACACGAAAGCGUGGGUAGCGAAUGGG